rnacentral:rRNA from 1 species
GGAUUAGAUACCCUGGUAGUCCACGCCGUAAACGAUGAGAACUUGACGUCGGGCUGCUUACGCGGCGCGGUGUCGUAGUUAACGCGAUAAGUUCUCCGCCUGGGGAGUACGGCCGCAAGGUUGAAACUCAAAGGAAUUGACGGGGGCCCGCACAAGCGGUGGAGUAUGUGGUUUAAUUCGAUGCAACGCGAAGAACCUUACCUGGUCUUGACAUCUACGGAACCUUUCAGAGAUGAGAGGGUGCCUUCGGGAACCGUAAGACAGGUGCUGCAUGGCUGUCGUCAGCUCGUGCCG